rnacentral:lncRNA from 7 species
AAUUUAAAGCUAUUUUGUCCAAAACUUAGAGAAAAUCAGAAAGGCAUUAGAAAUUAAUGAACAGUGAUUAAUAAUCUUUUUCCUAGUUUACUUAUGCAACAGAGAACCUAGGAAAAAUACAGAGACCAUUAAUUUGGACCAGUUUUUAAUUAAGAUGAUUUAUUUAGCCUUAUAUAGACUGAAAAUCAAUUAUUAAGGAGGCAAAACUAUAACCAAAAUACUUAAUAAAAAUCCAGUGGACUUACAACCACCAGAGCCCCACUACAAAAAUACAGAGCACCCCAGCCCAACUUGUUAAGUAAGGAAAAUAAAUGCAAAGUGAGAAUAAGGCAUUUUCCAAAUAAAUCAUGAACAACCCCUAUUAAUGUGAUAAUGGGCAACCAAAAAUUUGCUAAGUCCAUGAUGAGAUAAACCACCAGUGAAAAAUGCAAACCUAUGAAAAAGAAGUAAACCCAUACCUUUUGCUAGUAAUUUAAGAAAAAGGCCAUUUAAUUCAAAUAAUGCAAACCACCCCUUCCCUUAAGCAAAAAGAGGCCAAACUUCAGAAUAAUUGCUCUUGCACAAAAUAAUACCCAAGAAAAAUAAGAACUCUGUUGUUUGAUGUUUUUCAAAUAUAGUGGUAGUAGAAAGCAACCAUUUUGCUAGAAACUUGAGAAAACCAUAGGAAAAUAAUUAAAAGGUAUUAAUGGCUAGAAAUUUGUAUCAAGCCAUGUUAUGACACCUAAAGGUCAGCAAAAAUAAGUUUUAGAAAAUUACCCACUGUUAAAUAAUAGUUGUAGUUCAAAGCACCCCUUCUGCCCUAGAAUUUAAUAAUUUUGUCCAGAGAAAACUAUACACUUUCUGAUCCCCAAAUUUUGAGACAGAGCAACACACACCAGUAACAAGCCACUGUAAUUGUUGUGGAAUUGUUAGAAUUUUAUAAAAGCAACUUGUAGUUCAAACCUACU